rnacentral:ncRNA from 1 species
CAAAGGCUUGGUCCUGACUUUACUAUCAGCUCUAACCAAAUUUACACAUGCAAGUCUCCGCAGUCCUGUGAGGAUGCCCUACCCCUCCCACCGGGAGACAAGGAGCAGGUAUCAGGCACAUUUGUAUAGCCCAAGACGCCUUGCUUAGCCACACCCCCAAGGGAACUCAGCAGUGGUAGAUAUUAAGCCAUGAGUGAAAACUUGACUUAAUUAUGGUUAAGAGGGCCGGUAAACCUCGUGCCAGCCACCGCGGUUAUACGAAGGGCCCAAGUUGAUAAUCUCCGGCGUAAAGUGUGGUUAGGUUUAAAAUUAAAACUAAAGCCGAAUGGACACAGAGCUGUUAUACGCAAUCGUGAAACAGAAGCCCAAUUACGAAAGUAGCUUUACGUUAGCUGAACCCACGAAAGCUAGGACACAAACUGGGAUUAGAUACCCCACUAUGCCUAGCCCUAAACAUUGAUAGAACACUACCCCCCCUAUCCGCCCGGGUACUACGAGUAAAAACUUAAAACCCAAAGGACUUGGCGGUGCUUUAGAUCCACCUAGAGGAGCCUGUCCUAGAACCGAUAAUCCCCGUUUAACCUUACCUUUCCUUGUUAUCCCCGCCUAUAUACCGCCGUCGCAAGCUUACCCUGUGAAGGACAUAUAGUAAGCUAACCUAGUAUAAACUCCAUACGUCAGGUCGAGGUGUAGCGCAUGAAAAGGGAAGAGAUGGGCUACAUUUACUGACCCAGUAAACACGAAUGAUUCAGUGAAAACCUGAGCCUGAAGGAGGAUUUAGUAGUAAGCAGGAAGCAGAGUGUCCUGCUGAAUAUGGCCCUGAAGCGCGCACACACCGCCCGUCACUCUCUCCGAACAAUAGUAGUUAUUAAAUUAAAAAUAGUAAUCAUAAAGGGGAGGCAAGUCGUAACAUGGUAAGUGUACCGGAAGGUGUACUUGGAAAACG